AAAAGGCUCUCUGUAUAAAUCCUCUACAAAUACUAAUACAACAACACCCAAUUCCCAAUUCAAUUGAAGCAGAAAACCCAUUUUUAAGUGAAGAUCUGAAAUCAGUACAACUUUUGACAGAAUGUCUGAACAACAGAAGCCUACUGCUGUAACACCACCUGCUGCUUCUCCAGAAGGAUAUCCUCCUCCAGGGUAUCCCACUCAAGCUCCACCAUCACAAUAUGUAGAAGCGGGUCCUGUCAAAACACAAAGUAGAGGAGAGAAAGGUUGUAUAGAAGGAUGCUUAGCGGGCUUGUGUUGUUGUUGGUUGUGUGAGGAAUGUUGUAUAUGAGGACAUAUGCUUCGAUCUUGUUGUUAUAUUUGAUAAUAAAUUAUAUGGAAAGAUAUUGUAAUAUUCAAAUUUAUGUAAUAUCUUGUAGAUUAGUGGUAAGAUGAAGUUAUGUCUUCAUUUAUUCUAAUUAGUCAUUUCUCAUAAGCUCGUAUCUUAGAUUUAUUGUAUCUAGCCACUUGUUAUAAAUUUAUGUCCCGAUUUAUGAAA